UACGGGGGGGGCAAGCGUUGUUCGGAAUUACUGGGCGUAAAGGGCCAGUAGGCGGCCAACUAAGUCCGACGUGAAAUCCCAAGGCUUAACCUUGGAACUGCGUCGGAUACUGGAUGGCUUGAAUUCGGGAGAGGGAUGCAGAAUUCCAGGUGUAGCGGUGAAAUGCGUAGAUAUCUGGAGGAAUACCGGUGGCGAAGGCGGCAUCCUGGACCGACAUUGACGCUGAGGCGCGAAAGCUAGGGGAGCAAACGGG
rnacentral:rRNA from 1 species